ACCAAGUAUUUCCGAAGUCCAAAAGACCGUACAAGGUCUGACCAGUACCUGGCUAAGCGCUCCUCUAAGAAAUGGUAUCGUUCUUCUCUGAGGCCUCCUCCAAAGAGUUCCCCAACUCCAGGAACCAGAAGAUCAACAGCAGCAACCUAAGGGAAAAAAAAAUUAUUAGCAUUGUAUUUUCAGGUGAUUCCAACAGUCAGUUUCUGAAGCAAGUAAACCUUUAACAUUUUGGCAAUGGCUAAUUAACUACCUACCAGAAUCUUACUGACUACAUACAAAUUACAAGUGGACAAUUUCCUCUCUCUUGCACCAUUUGUGUGGUAUACUGAACACAAAUGUAUUUUCUUCAUAAAUGUGAUAGAAAUGUUAAUUAUAAAAAUGUGGAAACUGUUAAAAAUUAUAAAACAUUAAAAAUCACCUAUCAGCACCAGAAAA
rnacentral:antisense_RNA from 1 species